AUACGUAGGUGACAAGCGUUAUCCGGAUUUACUGGGCGUAAAGGGCGUGUAGGCGGUCUUGCAAGUCAGAAGUGAAAUUCCUGAGCUCAACUCGGGCGCUGCUUCUGAAACUGCAGGACUUGAGUGCUGGAGGGGAUAGCGGAAUUCCUAGUGGAGCGGUAAAAUGCGCAGAUAUUAGGAAGAACACCGGUGGCGAAGGCGGCAAUCUGGACAGUAACUGACGCUGAGGCGCGAAAGCGUGGGGAGAAAACAGGAUGAGAUACCCUGGUUGUCCACGCCGUAAACGAUGAAUACUAGGUGUAGGGGGUAUCGACUCCCUCUGUGCCGCAGUUAACACAAUAAGUAUUCCGCCUGGGGAGUACGGCCGCAAGGUUGAAACUCAAAUGAAUUGACGGGG
rnacentral:rRNA from 1 species